AGAUUGAACGCUGGCGGCAUGCCUAACACAUGCAAGUCGAACGGGAGUAGCAAUACUCUAGUGGCGGACGGGUGAGGAAUACGUAGGAAUUUGCCCUUAAGUGGGGGAUAACCCGGGAAACCCGGAUUAAUACCGCAUGACCUCGAAAGAGCAAAGUGGGGGAAUCGCAAGACCUCACGCUUUUGGAGAAGCCUACGUCGGAUUAGCUAGUUGGUGAGGUAAUGGCUCACCAAGGCGACGAUCCGUAACUGGUCUGAGAGGAUGAUCAGUCACACCGGAACUGAGACACGGUCCGGACUCCUACGGGAGGCAGCAGUGGGGAAUAGUUGGACAAGUGGGCGCGAAGCCUGAUCCAAG
rnacentral:rRNA from 1 species